rnacentral:lncRNA from 1 species
UGGUGGUUCACUGCGUUGUCAGAACGGGUGACACGUACGGAGGAGAGGCCGACAGAAAAGUGUUUCUCACCAUCUACGGAGACCUGGGAGACACGGGAAUGCAAACUCAGCAAGUCAGAGCAUCAGCAACAAGUUUGAAAGACAAAUUCUCCAUCGAGAUGGUGGAUCUCGGCCAGGUGUUUAUGAUCCGUAUCCGCAACGACAACUCAGACUGGAUGGGAGCCAACUUGUGCUGGACCAGGUAGAGGUGGUGGACGUGGAAACAGAGGAGGUGUAUGUUCCUGUGUGUGUUGGCUCUCCAAAAAGAAUGAGGACAAACGCAUCGAGAGAAUCUACUAUGUCAAGCGUCACCCCAGAGAGCUGCUGGUUGGUGGAUGAGUUGUCGGUUGCCGUGCCGACAGAAGGCAUCAAGUACAUCUUCCAAUGUAAGUGCUGGUUGGCCAAGGACAGAGGCAAUGGUCUCAUCACAGACUGUUCAACAUACUAGACACCAACAUCAUCCGGAAGCCUACCCCAGCCAAACCCGGAC